rnacentral:ncRNA from 1 species
CCUAUUGUUACAUCAAUAGUAGCCUAAAAAGGCGUGCGUUACCAGUAAUGAUUUGGUACGAGUUCCCUUGACAAUAUGGACCUAUAUAGAAAUAUCCAAUGUAUAAUUGUUAGGUAGCAAUAUAAGUAAACCGCUGCACCAUCGUGACA